GUCGAGGCUAGAGUCACGCUUGGGUAUGGACUGUUGCCUUAGUGUGCUAGAGUCCUCGGAGAAUAAGUGCUGACCUUAUUCACUGGCUGUGUGUGUUGAUGGCACAGCCAGUCACCAGGUUAGUGACAUGC